rnacentral:tRNA from 1 species
GCCUGGGUGGCUCAGUCGGUUGAGUGUCUGACUUCAGCUCAGGUCAUAAUCUCACGGUUUGUGGGUUUGAGCCCCGCGUCAGGCU